AUUAAUGGCGGAAGAAGAGAAAUCAGUGCAAGAAGAGCUUUCACUUCCGAUUCUACUAGCUGACAGAGUAAUCAAAUCUGCUCAAGAAGCCGAAUCCUCAAAAGUAGAAUGCGCCGAGCUCGCACGCCACGCUACUCAGCUCACCCAGUUUCUCCGAUCAACGGUUCGGCUCACCAGUUCUUCACAAUCCCAGUCACUGUACGACCGGCCUAUCCGCCGGAUAACUUCUGAAGUCACCAAAACUCUUGAACGGGCACUUACCCUUGUACGCAAGUGCCGUCACAAGCCUAAUCUACUCCGUCAUGUUCUUGCGAUUACUUCCACCACUGAUUUCCGGAAAGUUUCUGUUCUUCUAGAAAAUUCCAUCGCCGAUGUGACGUGGCUGUUAUCUAUCUUCGACCCGGAAGCUGGCCCGACACUUUCCCUUCCUCCUAUUGCUAGUAACGACCCGAUUAUGGCUUGGGUUUGGUCUUAUAUUGCUACUAUUCAAAUGGGUAGCCUUCAGCACCGAAUUGAUGCUGCUCUGGCAUUAGCUACCUUAGCUAGUGAUAAUGACCGGAACAAGAAAAUGAUUGUGGAAGAGAACGGAAUUCCGCCUUUAUUGAAGUUAUUGAAGGAGAGCAGCUCAUCAGAAGCACAAAUUGCUGCGGCUACUGCUUUGUACAACUUGGCUGAUGAUGCGGAAAGAGUGAGGGCAAUAGCAAAUGAUCUUGGUGUUCAAAUUAUUGUCAAGGUGCUUGCGGAAUCGCCCAUGAGAGUUCAAAUUCAUGUGGCUAAUUUGGUCUCCAGGAUGGCUGAUUUGGACUUGUAUGCCCAGGAAGAAUUUGGGAGGGAAAAUAUAACGAGGCCAUUGGUGAUUCAUCUAGGAAUGGAUGUAGUUCUGGAUGAACCCAAAGACGCUCCGCCCCGUAAGACUCCUAGUUUGCAUUCUUUAGUUCAAAUAAAUAAGGAGAUGGCCAGGAAUAAUUAUAGUGUACAUUCUAAUUCUAUGGAUGGGAGUAGUAGAGGCGGGCAUUACGGUAAUAAGAAGGAGAAAGAUAGGGAAUUGGAGCCCCCUGAGGUGAAAGCUAAGCUUAAGGUAAGUUGCGCGAUGGCGUUGUGGAAAUUGGCUAAAGGUAGUUUGAUGAAUAGCAGGAAGAUCACUGAGACUAAAGCUUUGCUUUGUCUGGCAAAGAUUAUUGAGAAGGAGAAGGGGGAAUUGCAGAUUAAUUGUCUGAUGACAGUGAUGGAAUUGGCUGCAGUGGCAGAGUCUAAUGCUGAACUUAGACGAGUGGCGUUCAAGCCUACUUCACCUGCUGGAAAAGCGGUUAUUGAUCAGCUAUUGAGGGUGAUAAAUGAGGAGACUGAUGCUCCAUUGGUGAUUCCGGCUAUUAAGGCAAUUGGGUCGUUGGCUAGGACAUUUCCUGCAAAGGACACGAGAAUCGUGAAGCAUUUAGUUGGUAAACUUGGGCAUAGAAAUACUGAUGUUGCUGUGGAAGCAUGUAUUGCUUUGGGGAAAUUUGCAUGUCCGGAAAAUUUUAACUGUGUGGAGCACUCGAAGGCAAUUGUUGAAUUUGAUGGAGUGCCAAAGCUGAUGAAUUUGCUGAGGUAUGACCGAGGGCAAGUGCACGAGCUUCAACUGCUCUGCUACCUUGCUUUGCACGUUGGUAAUAGUAAGGCCCUUGAGCAAGCAAAAGCCCUGAGCAUCCUUGAGGGUGCUGCUCGUCAUGUAAUUGCUCAGCGUCCUGAUUUAAGGGAGUUGUUUGCCAAGGCGAUCCACCAUCUUACUCUUUAUCAAAUUGGAGGUCAUAUGCAUAGACAGGCUUAAUGCUUCAUUGUUCGCAUUCCUAUCCAAUCAGAAUGGCCUUAGCACUUCUUGCUUCUGAAAUAAUCAGGUUUGAAGCACUGUCCUGACAAAGUCUUACAUUGUAUUCCUGUUGAAUUUUCAGCUUCAAACCUUGUUCUCUGAAACUGUUGUGGAAGCUACAUUUUAGGUACGGGUUCAGAUGAAUCUAGUAGCUUUUGCUUGGACUGU
rnacentral:misc_RNA from 1 species